GCGCACCAGGCGAGAAACUUUACAAUGUGCGAAAGCACGAUAAGGGAACUCUGAGUGCCUCCUAAGGAGGCUGUUCAGGUGUCUAAAAGCACCUGAAGGAAGGGCUGGGUAAGACCGGUGCCAGCCGCCGCGGUAACACCGGCAGCCUAAGUGGUAGCCACGUUUAUUGGGUCUAAAGCGUCCGUAGCCGGCUGGGUAAGUUCCUUGGGAAAUUUGGCUGCUUAACAGUCAAGCUUUCAGGGAAUACUGCCCGGCUUGGGACCGGGAGAGGUCAGAGGUACUCCAGGGGUAGGGUGAAAUCCAUUAAUCCUUGGGGGACCACCGGUAGCGAAGGCGUCUGACCAGACCGGGUCCGACGGUGAGGGACGAAGGCUAGGGGGCGCGAACCGGAUUAGAUA
rnacentral:rRNA from 1 species